rnacentral:rRNA from 1 species
AACGAACGCUGGCGGCAUGCCUAACACAUGCAAGUCGAACGAGACCUUCGGGUCUAGUGGCGCACGGGUGCGUAACGCGUGGGAACCUGCCCUUAGGUUCGGAAUAACUCCCCGAAAGGGGUGCUAAUACCGGAUAAUGUCUUCGGACCAAGGAUUUAUCGCCUUUGGAUGGGCCCGCGUUGGAUUAGCUAGUUGGUAGGGUAAAAGCCUACCAAGGCGACGAUCCAUAGCUGGUCUGAGAGGAUGAUCAGCCACACUGGGACUGAGACACGGCCCCGACUCCUACGGGAGGCAGCAGUGGGGAAUAUUGGACAAUGGGCGAAAGCCUGAUCCAGCAAUGCCGCGGGAGUGAUGAAGGCCUUAGGGUUGUAAAGCUCUUUUACCCGGGAUGAUAAUGACAGUACCGGGAGAAUAAGCGCCGGCUAACUCCGUG